GAUGAACGCUGGCGGCGUGCCUAAUACAUGCAAGUCGAGCGAACAGAUGAGGAGCUUGCUCCUCUGACGUUAGCGGCGGACGGGUGAGUAACGCGUGGAUAACCUACCUAUAAGACUGGGAUAACUUCGGGAAACCGGAGCUAAUACCGGAUAAUAUAUUGAACCGCAUGGUUCAAUAGUGAAAGACGGUUUUGCUGUCACUUAUAGAUGGAUCCGCGCCGCAUUAGCUAGUUGGUAAGGUAACGGCUUACCAAGGCAACGAUGCGUAGCCGACCUGAGAGGGUGAUCGGCCACACUGGAACUGAGACACGGUCCAGACUCCUACGGGAGGCAGCAGUAGGGAAUCUUCCGCAAUGGGCGAAAGCCUGACGGAGCAACGCCGCGUGAGUGAUGAAGGUCUUCGGAUCGUAAAACUCUGUUACUAGGGAAGAACAAAUGUGUAAGUAACUAUGCACGUCUUGACGGUACCUAAUCAGAAAGCCACGGCUAACUACGUG
rnacentral:rRNA from 1 species